ensembl:miRNA Mir3580 microRNA 3580
GUGUGCUAUGCCCUGCUUGUACUUAUUCUGGUGACAUGAGGUAUCUGUGACUAGGGUAGUAUGAGUAGAGUAAAGUUCACC